rnacentral:rRNA from 1 species
AUUGAACGCUGGCGGCAUGCCUUACACAUGCAAGUCGAACGGCAGCGCGGGAGCAAUCCUGGCGGCGAGUGGCGAACGGGUGAGUAGUGCAUCGGAACGUGCCCAGUUGUGGGGGAUAGCCCGGCGAAAGCCGGAUUAAUACCGCAUGAGACCUGAGGGUGAAAGCGGGGGAGCGAAAGACCUCGCGCGACCGGAGCGGCCGAGGUCUGAUUAGGUAGUUGGUGGGGUAAGGGCCUACCAAGCCUGCGAUCUGUAGCUGGUCUGAGAGGACGACGAGCCACACUGGGACUGAGACACGGCCCGGACUCCUACGGGAGGCAGCAGUGGGGAAUUUUGGACAAUGGGCGCAAGCCUGAUCGAGCCAUGCCGCGUGCGGGAAGAAGGCAUUCGGGUUGUAAACCGCUGUUGUCGGGGAAGAAACGGCCUGGGCUAAUACCUUGGGCUAAUGACGGUACCCGAAGAAUAAGCACCGGCUAACUACGUGCCAGCCGCCGCCGUAA